rnacentral:rRNA from 1 species
GCGUAUAGAACCUACCUUAUAGUAAGGAAUAGCCCAGAGAAAUUUGGAUUAAUACCUUAUAGUAUUAUUGAUUGGCAUCGAUUAAUAAUUAAAGAUUUAUUGCUAUAAGAUGGCUAUGCGUUCUAUUAGCUAGUUGGUAUGGUAACGGCAUACCAAGGCUACGAUAGAUAGGGGUCCUGAGAGGGAGAUCCCCCACACUGGUACUGAGACACGGACCAGACUCCUACGGGAGGCAGCAGUGAGGAAUAUUGGACAAUGGAGGCAACUCUGAUCCAGCCAUGCCGCGUGUAGGAAGACUGCCCUAUGGGUUGUAAACUACUUUUAUAGAGGAAGAAACCCCGAUAUGUAUAUCGGUCUGACGGUACUCUACGAAUAAGGAUCGGCUAACUCCGUGCCAGCAGCCGCGGUAAUACGGAGGAUCCAAGCGUUAUCCGGAAUCAUUGGGUUUAAAGGGUCCGUAGGCGGUUUUGUAAGUCAGUGGUGAAAGUUUUCGGCUCAACCGGAAAAUUGCCAUUGAUACUGCAAGACUUGAAUUAUUGUGAAGUGGUUAGAAUGUGUAGUGUAGCGGUGAAAUGCAUAGAUAUUACACAGAAUACCGAUUGCGAAGGCAGAUCACUAACAAUAUAUUGACGCUAAGGGACGAAAGCGUGGGUAGCGAACAGGAUUAGAUACCCUGGUAGUCCACGCCGUAAACGAUGGUUACUAGCUGUUCGGACUUCGGUCUGAGUGGCUAAGCGAAAGUGAUAAGUAACCCACCUGGGGAGUACGUUCGCAAGAAUGAAACUCAAAGGAAUUGACGGGGGCCCGCACAAGCGGUGGAGCAUGUGGUUUAAUUCGAUGAUACGCGAGGAACCUUACC